rnacentral:misc_RNA from 1 species
GUGAAUCAUCGAAUUUUUGAACGCAAAUUGCACUCUCCGCGGAGAGUAUGCCGGUUUGAUGGUCAGCCUAUAAAAAAUCGACAUCGUUGCUGUUUCGCGUUGGCGUUCGUCGGAAAUUGGGGUAUCUUAAAUCCUUUUGGGUUUUAAGCGACUUAAAAUUUUCUUUUUGGUUCCAUGAACGUUUCUAAGAUUUAUUUCUUUACACGUUUAAGUUAUCGAUUUUUUUUGCCUGUAACGUUAUGACUGUAUCCGGUCA